CGCGACCCAACUCCGGGAGCGUCUGCCUGAGCGCCCAGUGUCCAAACUCCGGCGGGCCGGAGCUGCUGGCUCGGCGCAGCUGGGGUGCCCGGCUCCGCGCUUCGGCCGGCAGAGUGAGUCUGCCGAGUUCCGCGGACGGAACCGGGAGGAUAUGAGACCUGCCCUUGAAGCCCGUUCGCGUUUCCCUAAUGAAUAGAGGGCAAAACAGCUGGAGAAGCAGCCUUAUUGCUCAAAAGGAAGUGUUGAUACAUCCCGGAGCUUUGAGCGUGGGAGAUGACGGGCCCAGCUUUAUGCCACUUACAGUGGUAACAUGGUUGAUGGGUAGACCCUGUACGGCAAGAUGGUAUUGUUACUGAAACGGCCAUGGGCUGGAUAUGUGUGAGAAGAUAAGCCCACUUACCAGGUUCUAAGGCAAAGUCCAAAGUGGCUUGACUAAGAUGAGACAGAAAGAGCAGAAAGUAACUUUCAAGAGAAUUUGUUUGCAAUACACAUUUACCUGACUUCUGUUAGAGAAUAGCUUUUUGUAAGAAAGUGUAUGGCAGUUGUGGUAGAUGCUGUUUGGUGUGUCACCUAGGAGCCCUUUGCUGGCUGGUGCUCGUCACCCAGGCCACUGGCAAUGUCGCCCGCUAAGGGCUCACAGCUGCCCCUUCUCAGGCCUCCCUAACCCCUCCACCAAGGGCAGUAGUCGUGAGGCCAAGGCUCAACUUUACAGGAACCCAUCCUGGCUGACUUUUUCCUCUUCGCCCCCUCUCUAAUAAAUUUUUCCUAAAGAGUACUUCAUAGCUGUUAUCCUUGUCUUCAUCAAGCUUCACAGGCAGCUGGGAAUCAGAAGGGAUUUAGAAGAUAUCACACAGCAAGUUGACAGAGCAAGAAAGGCAUCAUUAUCCUCUUUACUACCUUCUCUAUGCACUGAUCUUUCUAUUGUGCCUCUUUGAGUUCUAGCCACAUUGGCUAUUUUAAUAGUUUUCCAUUUUGAUUCAUUUUCAGAAAGAAUAUAUGUGUAGGACAGCUUAUUGAAUUAACUCUUUCUGUUAUCCACAUUUAUGAGAAGCUAGGCUAUUUAGAUCAUUAGUUACUAAUAUCGUACUGUAGACCAUUGAUCCAAAUUAUAGGCAUAAGUAUCUAUGAAGAAAAUUAAAAAUGUGACCAUGACCAGCGUGCUAGUGAGCUCUUUACAGUAAUAGCAAAGGUUACAAUCCUUAAAGAACUUUUGCCAUGUGAUGUUAAAUAUUGUUAGAAUACCAUUUGUACUGCGCAUUAUGGUUUUUAAAUACACUGUCAUAAAUAUUUCAUUUGUCUCCACAGUAACCCUCUGACCUGAGUAAAGUAUGGGAAUCUCUGUUUCAUAGAUGAAGGAACUGAAGCUCAGGGAUAUUAAGGGAUUUGCUCAGUGUCUAAUAGUUAUGAAGUUGCAUGGUGAAAUUUGACAGUUUUAUUUUUAGCAGAUUUGGAGCCUUUCUAUUUUAUUGCCUAUUUGAUCCACUUUAUCAUGUUUUGUCAUUUCUUAAAUUAUUUGAGGUUAUAACAUCAGUUUGUGGUUUAGUCAUCAUAAAACUCUGUAGUACUAUUUGUAUUCUAGGACACGAGACCUUCUAGAAUUUCUACAAGGCUGCAAAAUAGGCUGCCUAAUUAAAU